CCGUAUAGAAGUAAACGAAUGGAGCCGGCGGUAAACCCAAGGGAUUCAACCUGGAGUUCUGCACUUCGGUGUAGACGAAGGGUGCAUUUCCCAUGGGUUGGCGCCUAAACCGACAGACCUUUUCUGGUACAUGGCGGAUUGGUUGUGGCCUGUUGCUUCGGUGACAGAGACCCGCCUUUUCGACCCUACCGGGUAAGCGUUAGUCGAGAAUUUACCGUGCCUGCCUCAAGGUUCGUUUCUGGUCUGCACGAUGGGCGGUUGGACCUCGGUAUCUUGCUUUUGCAGGGUUCCGAGACUCUCGCACCAGUGUUGCUGCCGGUACGAUUUUGGUGCUCAUGGUUUCUGGCGUUUUAGUCGGCCACCCAUUCGACCCGUCUUGAAACACGGACCAAGGAGUCGUACAUGUGCGCAAGUCAUUGGGUGACAAAACUCAAAGGCGUAAUGAAAGUAAAGGCUGGCUUUAGUCGGCUGAAGUGGGAUCCCCUUCUAACGUUGGGGCGCACCACUGGCCCGUGCUAACUCCUUUGCGGGUGGCGCGGCGCUAUAGCGUACGUGUUCGGACCCGAAAGAUGGUGAACUAUGCUUGAGUAGGGUGAAGCCAGAGGAAACUCUGGUGGAAGCCCGAAACGGUUCUGACGUGCAAAUC
rnacentral:rRNA from 1 species